CUUCAGGUAUUGACGGGUUGAUCAUCAUUUGAGAAGCAUCAAAAGCGUUAGAGAUUUGCAGUUCUCCUAGUAGAUAAUUAAAAAAUACACUACAUAAUGGAGUUUCUCGGCUAAGUUGCCCAUAUGCAGCAUGGUAAACGCGAAUCACUACAAAAGGUUGUCAAGAUAUGGGUGAAUUCAAGUUUUUUUGGUUGCUUUCCCCCGGUACACUGAAUGUUUUCGACAUCACCACAAUCCAUAACUUGACCCAGCACAUCUGUAAAAAAAAAAC